GAUGAACGCUGGCGGCGUGCCUAACACAUGCAAGUCGAGCGAACCCUUCGGGGUGAGCGGCGGACGGGUGAGUAACGCGUGGGUAACCUGCCCUAUACACACGGAUAACGUACCGAAAGGUACGCUAAUACGAGAUGACAUAUUUUUAUCGCAUGGUAGAAAUAUCAAAGCUCCGGCGGUAUAGGAUGGACCCGUGUCUGAUUAGCUAGUUGGUAAGGUAAUGGCUUACCAAGGCGACGAUCAGUAGCCGACCUGAGAGGGUGAUCGGCCACAUUGGAACUGAGACACGGUCCAAACUCCUACGGGAGGCAGCAGUGGGGAAUAUUGCACAAUGGGCGAAAGCCUGAUGCAGCAACGCCGCGUGAGCGAUGAAGGCCUUCGGGUCGUAAAGCUCUGUCCUCAAGGAAGAUAAUGACGGUACUUGAGGAGGAAGCCCCGGCUAACUACGUGCCAGCCGCCGCAGUAAUAC
rnacentral:rRNA from 1 species